UACAGAGGGGGCAAGCGUUAUUCGGAAUUAUUGGGCGUAAAGGGCGCGUAGGCGGCCUGGCAAGUGGAAGGUGAAAUCCCUCGGCUUAACCGAGGAACUGCCCUCCAAACUGCUUGGCUUGAGUCCGGGAGAGGUGAGUGGAAUUCCCAGUGUAGCGGUGAAAUGCGUAGAUAUUCGCAAGAACACCAGUGGCGAAGGCGGCUCACUGGCCCGGUACUGACGCUGAGGUGCGAAAGCGUGGGGAGCAAACAGG
rnacentral:rRNA from 1 species